rnacentral:lncRNA from 1 species
GUUCUCUAGACUACAGCAGAAGGUGUGUUGGUAGCUGGUAGCUUCAUAUAACACUGUUUCACCAGGUUCUCUAGACACAGCAAAGGGUGUGUUGGUAGCUGGUAGCUCAUAUAGACACUGUUCACCAGGUUUCUCUAGACUACAGCAGAAGUGUGUUGGUAGCUGGUAGCUGGUAGCUACAUAUAGACACUGUUCACCAGGUUCUCUAGACUACAGCAGAAGGUGUGUUGGUAGCUGGUAGCUACAUAUAGACACUGGUUCACCAGGUUCUCUAGACUACAGCAGAAGGUGUUGUAGGUCUGGUAGCUACAAUAGACACUGUUCACCAGUUCUCUAGACUACAGCAGAAGGUGUGUUGGUAGCUGGUAGCUACAUUAGACACUGUUCACCAGGUCUCUAGACUACAGCAGAAGUGUGUUGGUACUGGAGCUGGUAGCUACAUAUAGACACUGUUCACCAGGUUCUCUAACUACAGCAGAAGGUGUGUUGGUAGCGGGUAGAAUACAUAUGAGACCUGAUCGUUUUUGUGUGGUGUGUGACAACUACUAUGGACUAUCUCACACAACACCUCCUGCUUGCUUCUCCUCAGCCACAUAAGGCCAGGGAGGUUGAAGUACGACUACACAACUAGAACACAGAACUCUAGAACUAGAACACUAGAACAGAACAAAUAGAACACCGGAACCCACUGCAUCAGAGGUAGGACAAAUGGUGACUACUGAGGAGAGAAGAUGAUCACAUGACAAGCUGUGACUCUGGGAUGGUGACUACUGAGGAGAGAAGAUGAUCACAUGACAAGCUGUGACUCUGGGAUGGUGACUACUGAGAGAGAAGAUGAUCACAUGACAAGCUGUGGACUCUGGGGAUGGUGACUACUGAGAGAGAAGAUGAUCCAAUGACAAGCUGUGACUCUGGGAUGGUGACUACUGAGAGAGAAGAUGAUCACAUGACAGGCUGUGACUCUGGGAUGGUGACUACUGAGAGAGAAGAUGAUCACAUGACAAGCUGUGACUCUGGGAUGGUGACUACUGAGAGAGAAGAUGAUCACAUGAACAGCUGUGACUCGGGAUGGUGACUACUGAGAGAGAAGAUGAUCACAUGACAAGUGUGACUCUGGGAUGGUGACUACUGAGAGAGAAGAUGAUCACAUGACAAGCUGUGACUCGG